UUAAGUUAAUAAGGGCGCACGGUGGAUGCCUUGGCACUAGAAGCCGAUGAAGGACGUGACUAACGACGAAAUGCUUUGGGGAGCUGUAAGUGAGCAAUGAUCCAGAGAUGUCCGAAUGGGGGAACCCGGCAGGUAAUGCCUGUCACUUAUUACUGUUAAGGUAAUGUAGAGGAAGACGCAGUGAACUGAAACAUCUAAGUAGCUGCAGGAAGAGAAAGCAAAAGCGAUUGCCUUAGUAGCGGCGAGCGAAACGGCAAGAGGGCAAACCGAAGAGUUUACUCUUCGGGGUUGUAGGACUGCAACGUGGACUUAAAGAUUAUAGAAGAACUACCUGGGAAGGUAGGCCAAAGAGAGUAAUAGCCUCGUAUUCGAAAUAGUCUUUAUACCUAGCAGUAUCCUGAGUACGGCGAGACACGAGAAAUCUCGUCGGAAUCUGGGAGGACCAUCUCCCAACCCUAAAUACUCUCUAGUGACCGAUAGUGAACCAGUACCGUGAGGGAAAGGUGAAAAGCACCCCGGGAGGGGAGUGAAAUAGAACCUGAAACCGUGUGCCUACAACAAGUUCGAGCCCGUUAAUGGGUGAGAGCGUGCCUUUUGUAGAAUGAACCGGCGAGUUACGAUAUGAUGCGAGGUUAAGUUGAAGAGACGGAGCCGUAGGGAAACCGAGUCUUAAUAGGGCGCAUUAGUAUCAUGUCGUAGACCCGAAACCAUGUGACCUACCCAUGAGCAGGUUGAAGGUGAGGUAAAACUCACUGGAGGACCGAACCAGGGCACGUUGAAAAGUGCUUGGAUGACUUGUGGGUAGCGGAGAAAUUCCAAACGAACUUGGAGAUAGCUGGUUCUCUCCGAAAUAGCUUUAGGGCUAGCGUCGAUGUUAAGUCUCUUGGAGGUAGAGCACUGUUUGGGUGAGGGGUCCAUCCCGGAUUACCAAUCUCAGAUAAACUCCGAAUGCCAAUGAGAUAUAAUCGGCAGUCAGACUGCGAGUGCUAAGAUCCGUAGUCGAAAGGGAAACAGCCCAGACCACCAGCUAAGGUCCCAAAAUAUAUGUUAAGUGGAAAAGGAUGUGGGGUUGCACAGACAACUAGGAUGUUAGCUUAGAAGCAGCUAUUCAUUCAAAGAGUGCGUAAUAGCUCACUAGUCGAGUGACCCUGCGCCGAAAAUGUACCGGGGCUAAAACAUAUUACCGAAGCUGUGGAUACCUUUAUAGGUAUGGUAGGAGAGCGUUCUAUGUGCGAAGAAGGUGUACCGUGAGGAGUGCUGGAGCGCAUAGAAGUGAGAAUGCCGGUAUGAGUAGCGAAAGACAGGUGAGAAUCCUGUCCACCGUAAGACUAAGGUUUCCAGGGGAAGGCUCGUCCGCCCUGGGUUAGUCGGGACCUAAGGAGAGACCGAAAGGUGUAUCCGAUGGACAACAGGUUGAUAUUCCUGUACUAGAGUAUAUAGUGAUGGAGGGACGCAGUAGGCUAACUAAACCAGACGAUUGGAAGUGUCUGGCCAAGCAGUGAGGUGUGAUAUGAGUCAAAUGCUUAUAUCUCUAACAUUGAGCUGUGAUGGGGAGCGAAGUUUAGUAGCGAAGUUAGUGAUGUCACACUGCCGAGAAAAGCUUCUAGCGUUAAUUAUACUCUACCCGUACCGCAAACCGACACAGGUAGUCGAGGCGAGUAGCCUCAGGUGAGCGAGAGAACUCUCGUUAAGGAACUCGGCAAAAUGGCCCCGUAACUUCGGGAGAAGGGGCGCUGACUGAUGGUCAGCCGCAGUGAAUAGGCCCAAGCAACUGUUUAUCAAAAACACAGCUCUCUGCUAAAUCGUAAGAUGAUGUAUAGGGGGUGACGCCUGCCCGGUGCUGGAAGGUUAAGAGGAGUGCUUAGCGUAAGCGAAGGUAUGAAUUGAAGCCCCAGUAAACGGCGGCCGUAACUAUAACGGUCCUAAGGUAGCGAAAUUCCUUGUCGGGUAAGUUCC
rnacentral:rRNA from 1 species